CUUAACCUUGAUUACCUCUACAAAGAUCCUAUUUCCAAAGUAAGUCACAUUCACUGGUACUGGGUGUUAGGACUUUAACAUAUCCUUUUGUAGGGCACAAUUCAACCCAUAGCAGUCUCCACCAGUUUCUCCAGCUCCCAAACAGGCAUAGGGAAUGUGGCAGAGGCGGUGAACUAAAAUGAACCCUGAGGUCCCUUCAGCUGUGAGUCUGAGGUUCUGUGUAUCCACCUGUUCUAAGUCCUUACAUUCGUCAGCCUUGGGCUACUAAGGAGUCCAAGAGAGACUUGAUGAGGAGGAGGUUCCAGGUUAUUAUAGAACAGAUAAGCAAUAUGGCCUUUGGAAAGCAUGAUUCAUGCUAAAAAAGAGGCAAGAUAAGAAGAGAGGACAUUCUGUAAUGAAUAAGGGUGGCUGCACCUUCAAACUGUCCUGGGCCCCUCCUGCUGGGCCAGUAUCUGAUCACCUGGUCUUCUCAGUCCCUGGCAAAGUGCACGGCCCAUGACGCACCCUGCCGCUGUCUCCUGAAGGAAUCGGAGUGGACCACUGAAUCCCAGAUGCUCUUCUUUCAAACGAUGUGACCUUGGGAAAGUUACAUAAACUGUCUGUUAUGUAACUUGGUUUUCCUCUUUAUAAAUUGGAGUAAUAACACCUACUUGUAAACGUUAUUGAGGUAAUGUAUGUUU
rnacentral:lncRNA from 1 species